GGCUGUGUAGCUCAGUUGGCUAGAGCAUGCGGUUCAUACCCGCAGUGUCAUUGGUUCGAAUCCUAUCACAGCCACCA
rnacentral:tRNA from 1 species